CGAUUUUCACGAUUCUCCCUGAGUUUACUCUCAAAUUGACAGCUUCCUUCCUGAUUUUUCUCUCAAAUGGACAACCUCCUCUCUGAUCUUUCUCUCAAAUUGAUCAUCUCCUUUUUCUCAUCAUCUCCCAGCCUAUCUCGCCUCUGAUCAUCUCCCAGCCUAUCUCGCCUCUGAUCAUCUCCCUUUCUUCAUCAUCAUCCUCAUUCCUCACCAUCUCCUUCUAACAACAUCUCCAGCUCAGAUUUCGAUUCGGCGUAAGUCACGGCGUCAAACGAAUCGAUGUCAUCAACAUGCUCGUCGUCCACAUCGCGUCAGAAUUUUCCAGAUCUAAGAAGUUAACGGCGGCUGGUGAGUCAACAGAGGAGUUGAAAUGCUCGCUGCCACUGCUCUCGCAAAUCUGAGUCGUUGUUUUCCAGUUCAUAACCAGUGAAGGUUCAAGAUCAACGAUUGAUCGAUCUAGAUCGAUCAAAUUGGUCUGAUUUCGUACAUGGAAAGAUAACGAUUUCGAGUUCAAUUCAAAUUCGGCAAAUCGAAUUAAAAUCAAUCGGGGACAGUUUUGUCCGGAUUCGAAUUUGGUUUUAAAAUCGAGCAACCGGAUUCGACCGAAUUACUGAGUCCUAAGUCUAAAUAAUGCAAAGUGUAGUUAACUCUUGUCUCCUUGUUUUUUACCUUCCAAUUCUUCAAUUGUAAUAUAAUGGGCAUCGAAAGAGGCAUAAACAUAAUGUAAUAGACUUAGAAAGGAGAUAUAUAUAAAUUGCACAUUAUCUGGUGACAUAAUACACGUACAAUUACAAAAAGAAAAUAAUAACUGUAUACUCUAAGUGACAUAAUGAUGAUGUAAUUUAAAUCACUUAUAAUAUGAACAUUACAG
rnacentral:lncRNA from 1 species